rnacentral:pre_miRNA from 1 species
GGGGAAUGUUGUCUGGCUCGAGGCCAUCCUGAAAAUAGUCCACCCCCGGUUCUUUUGGGGUUUUUUUGGAUGCCGUCGGACCAGGCUUCAUUCC